ensembl:lncRNA
CAGACGGACGACCUGGUCGACCGCUUCCAUCAAACACUGAAGCAGAUGCUGCUGCGAGUGGCUGCGGAGGACAAGCGCGACUGGGACAAGAUGCUGCCCUACGUGUUGUUCGGCAUCCGGGAGGUGCCCCAGGCUUCCACCGGAUUUACCCCCUUCGAGCUCCUCUUCGGCCGGCAGCCCCGCGGCCUGCUAGAUGUCGCCCGAGAAGCCUGGGAACAGCAGCCGGCCGUCCACCGCUCCACGAUCGAGCAUGUCCGGGAGAUGCGGGAGAGGAUCGACAGAGUCAUGCCCAUCGUCCGGGAGCACAUGGCAAAAGCUCAGCAGGCCCAGCAACGACAUUACAACAGGGCGGCCCAGCCACGGGAGUUUCAGCCAGGAGACCACGUCAUGGUCCUCGUCCCCACCGCCGCCUGUAAAUUCUUGGCCAGCUGGCAAGGUCCCUACACCGUCACGGAAAGGAUCGGCCCUGUCACCUACCGAGUCCGGCAGCCCGGAAGACGCAGAGAGGACCAACUGUACCACAUAAACCUUCUGAAGCGCUGGGUCGGGUCCGGGCCCCAGCUGGCAGCCCUCGCUCAUCAACCUCCCGUGGCUGUGGACAUGGACCCCCAUCUCUCGGCCGCCCAAAAGUCGGAGCUGCAACACCUGGUCAGUCAGUUCACCGAUGUGUUCUCUCCCCAGCCAGGGCGGACCCACGUACUCAAGCACGAUAUCCGCACAGCACCCGGAAUGAUCGUCCGGCAGCGGCCCUAUCGUGUUCCGGAGGCUCGGCGACACGCCAUUGAGGAGGAGGUACAGGAGAUGUUGAGGUUAGGGACCAUCGAACCAUCACGCAGCCCCUGGUCCAGCCCCAUCGUCAUGUUUCCAAAGCCCGAUGGCUCCCUCCACUUUUGCAAUGACUUUCGGCGCCUAAACGAAGUCUUGGAGUUUGAUGGCUACCCCAUGCCACGAUGUAGUCAUACAUUCUGAGACUUGGGAGGAGCACCUGGAGCAGCUGCGGCCGCCCUCACCUCCGAGCCCG